GGAAACUUUAACAGUGCUGACAACUUUGGAAAAAGUCAUCCCAAUUUACUGUGUUGAGGUGGCAUUGUACAGAAAUGGACAGCCAUAUUGGUCUAGAAAUGUUAAUUUAUUUUUAUUUUUUUCCAUGUGUACAGGGGUACCACAUCAUGCUAAAUAUGUAAGGUCAUAUCUAUGUGGGUUUGAUUACAGAAACUCGCCCUCCCUGUGGGCACAGACAGACCCAGGUCGGCCCCUCGGUGUCUCGUUAUGAAAUUUGUGUCUUUAAGGUGUUUGGUGGCAGGCUGGCCCCGGGGCAGGGACGGAGGAGGUGAGGGUCCCGGGGGAUCUCAUGAGGCCACUGGUUGUCCUAUUGCAGAACACCCGCCUGGUCUGUGGGGGCCAAGCCCAAACUGAUGUCACCCACACCAGAUGACACACCCUGGCAGCCACGGCCUGGCCAUGGCCCAGCCACAAGGCCCCAACCAUUUCCUUCCAUUGGGGACCAUCGGCCUGCACCUGAGGCUCCCGGAACCUGCCCAAGUCGCUGCUCCAGGGGCCAGGCAUCCUGACAAACCCAGGGAUGGGGCAGGCUCAGGAGAGCAGGGCAGCACCAGCCCGAUCCAGAGGUCCUCCUGGAGCCGCAGAGCGCACUGCAGGUGCCUGGGCACAGGUGUCGUUGACAAACCACCUGGUGGCUUGUGACCUUUCUCAGUCCCUCUGCAAGAGAGACUCAGCUUCCAGCCAUGAAGUUCUGAGCCUGUUGAGCUGCGGCCGUCACCCUGGGCCCCACUGGACAGAGCUGCGUCCUCACCGGCAGCCCACAGUCCCGCAGUCUGGACCUGGAACACUGGUCUGGCUGCCUGCACUGCCCCGGGCCCCUGACCUGGAGGUGUGUGAGUCUGGCCUCCAGGUCACCGCCCUCAGGCCAAGGCUACGGCAUUGGGCAGAGGGAGCGGGGCCUUCCUUGAGUUGCUGA
rnacentral:lncRNA from 1 species